UACAGAGGGGGCAAGCGUUGUUCGGAAUUACUGGGCGUAAAGGGCGCGUAGGCGGCCGCCUAAGUCAGACGUGAAAUCCCUCGGCUCAACCGGGGAACUGCGUCUGAUACUGGGUGGCUUGAAUCCGGGAGAGGGAUGCGGAAUUCCAGGUGUAGCGGUGAAAUGCGUAGAUAUCAGGAGGAACACCUGUGGCGAAGGCGGCCCUCUGGACGGAUACUGACGCUGAGACGCGAAAGCGUGGGGAGCAAACAGG
rnacentral:rRNA from 1 species